rnacentral:rRNA from 1 species
GAGUUUGAUCGUGGCUCAGAACGAACGCUGGCGGCAUGCCUAACACAUGCAAGUCGAACGGGAUCCUGGCUUCGGCCAGGUGAGAGUGGCGGACGGGUGAGUAACGCGUGGGAACCUGCCCAAUGGUCUGGGAUAACCGCGGGAAACUGCGGCUAAUACCGGAUAAGCCCGAGAGGGGAAAGAUUUAUCGCCGAUGGAGGGGCCCGCGUCCGAUUAGGUAGUUGGUGAGGUAACGGCUCACCAAGCCGACGAUCGGUAGCUGGUCUGAGAGGAUGAUCAGCCACACUGGGACUGAGAUACGGCCCAGACUCCUACGGGAGGCAGCAGUGGGGAAUAUUGGACAAUGGGGGCAACCCUGAUCCAGCAAUGCCGCGUGAGUGAUGAAGGCCUUAGGGUUGUAAAGCUCUUUUGGCGGGGACGAUGAUGACGGUACCCGCAGAAUAAGCCCCGGCUAACUUCGUGCCAGCCGCCGCAGUAAU